UAGCGUAGGGGGCAAGCGUUGUCCGGAAUCAUUGGGCGUAAAGCGCGCGUAGGCGGCCCUGUAAGUCCGUUGUGAAAGUCGAAGGCUCAACCUUCGAAAGCCGAUGGAUACUGCAGGGCUAGAGUCCGGAAGAGGCGAGUGGAAUUCCUGGUGUAGCGGUGGAAUGCGCAGAUAUCAGGAGGAACACCAAUAGCGAAGGCAGCUCGCUGGGACGGUACUGACGCUAAGGCGCGAAAGCGUGGGGAGCGAACAGG
rnacentral:rRNA from 1 species